ACAAGCGGUGGAGCAUNUNGUUUNAUUNGAAGCAACNCGNAGNACCUUACCAAAUCNUGACNUCCUUUGACCCUUCUAGAGAUAGAAGUUUUUCCUUCGGGGGACAAAGUGACAGGUGGUGCAUGGUUGUCGUCAGCUCGUGUCGUGAGAUGUUGGGUUAAGUCCCGCAACGAGCGCAACCCUUAAGCUUAGUUGCCAUCAUUAAGUUGGGCACUCUAAGUUGACUGCCGGUGACAAACCGGAGGAAGGUGGGGAUGACGUCAAAUCAUCAUGCCCCUUAUGAUUUGGGCUACACACGUGCUACAAUGGACAAUACAAAGGGCAGCGAAACCGCGAGGUCAAGCAAAUCCCAUAAAGUUGUUCUCAGUUCGGAUUGUAGUCUGCAACUCGACUACAUGAAGCUGGAAUCGCUAGUAAUCGUAGAUCAGCAUGCUACGGUGAAUACGUUCCCGGGUCUUGUACACACCGCCCGUCACACCACGAGAGUUUGUAACACCCGAAGCCGNUGGAGUAACCAUUUGGAGCUAGCCUCG
rnacentral:rRNA from 1 species